rnacentral:rRNA from 1 species
AUUGAACGCUGGCGGCAGGCCUAACACAUGCAAGUCGAACGAUUGUCGGCCGGUUGAGUAAUGUCUGGGACACUGCCUGAUGGCGGGGGAUAACUACUCGAAAAGGUAGCUAAUACCGCAUACCAUCGUAUGUGCCCAGAAGGGUUUAGCUAGUAGGUGGGGUAACGGCUCACCUAGGCGACGAUCCCUAGCUGGUCUGAGCGGAUGACCAGCGAAACUGGAACUGAGGCACGGUCCUGACGCCUGCGGUAGGCGUCAGUGGGUAAUAUUGUACAAUGGGCGCAAGCCUGAUGCAGCCAUGCCGCGUGUAUGAAGAAGGCCUUCGGGUUGUAAAGUACUUUCAGCGAGGAGGCGUUACUCGCAGAAGAAGCACCGGCUAACUCCGUGCCAGCCGCCGCGGUGAUUC